AUACGUAGGGUGCAAGCGUUAAUCGGAAUUACUGGGCGUAAAGCGUGCGCAGGCGGUUUUGUAAGACAGUGGUGAAAUCCCCGGGCUCAACCUGGGAACUGCCAUUGUGACUGCAAGGCUGGAGUGCGGCAGAGGGGGGUGGAAUUCCGCGUGUAGCAGUGAAAUGCGUAGAUAUGCGGAGGAACACCGAUGGCGAAGGCAAUCCCCUGGGCCUGCACUGACGCUCAUGCACGAAAGCGUGGGGAGCAAACAGGAUUAGAUACCCUGGUAGUCCACGCCCUAAACGAUGUCAACUGGUUGUUGGGGAUUUAUUUUCUCAGUAACGAAGCUAACGCGUGAAGUUGACCGCCUGGGGAGUACGGCCGCAAGGUUAAAACUCAAAUGAAUUGACGGGG
rnacentral:rRNA from 1 species